CUGCAGGCCCUGCCGAAGCUCCCCCUGGUUUCCCGCAGCGAUCCCGCGCAGGGCUGAAGCAGUGCCUACUCAAUAGAACCAGUCAUCGUGCAAAGAAAUGCCACCUGACUCAAAGGCAAAGCCAGAGUGCAGCUUGGAGCAAAGAAGUUUGUGUUGAAGGAGAAACUAACAAUGAAAAUGGACUUGUUGACGGAAGAAAAGUAGGAAUGCAGCCUCUGGUGCUGUUUGAGUGAUCCCUCUGCCCCAGGCCUGGCUGUGCGCUGCUGUGUUCUGGAAAGGCGCAUUGUGCCCUCGCUGUGGCAGUUAAAAGAAUAUUGGCAGAAAAACAGCCCUAGAGUUCCAGCAGGAGCGAACAGGAACAGGAAAACAAAUGGCAGUAUCCCUCAGACAGCCACUUCUGGUGGUUGCCAGCCACCUGGGGAUUCAGCAACAGGUUUUCACAGGGAAGGCCCUACAUCAUCUGCUACCCUGAAAGAUCUGGAGAGCCCGUGCCAAGAACGAGCAGUAGUCCUGGAUUCAAGGUCCGUAGAAAUCAGUCAACUGAAGAACACCAUCAAAUCUUUG
rnacentral:lncRNA from 1 species